rnacentral:ncRNA from 16 species
GGCCGGGUGGCGCGCAGCCAUACAAGACCCUUCGGGGGAAAACUGCGGGCCGUCCUAGAGCGGUGUUCAAGCGCCCGGCCGCCUCUCU